CGCCCUUAGAGUUUGAUCAUGGCUCAGAUUGAACGCUGGCGGCAGGCCUAACACAUGCAAGUCGAGCGGCAAGGAAGCUUGCUUCCUGCGAGCGGCGGACGGGUGAGUAAUGUCUGGGGAACUGCCCGAUGGAGGGGGAUAACUACUGGAAACGGUAGCUAAUACCGCAUAACGUCUACGGACCAAAGUGGUUCGUCACACCAUCGGAUGUGCCCAGAUGGGAUUAGCUGGUAGGUGGGGUAAUGGCUCACCUAGGCGACGAUCCCUAGCUGGUCUGAGAGGAUGACCAGCCACACUGGAACUGAGACACGGUCCAGACUCCUACGGGAGGCAGCAGUGGGGAAUAUUGCACAAUGGGCGCAAGCCUGAUGCAGCCAUGCCGCGUGUGUGAAGAAGGCCUUCGGGUUGUAAAGCACUUUCAGCGAGGAGGAAGGCGUUGUAGUAAUCUGCAGCGUUGACGUUACUCGCAGAAGGAGCACCGGCUAACUCCGUGCCAGCAGCCGCGGUAAUACGGAGGGUGCAAGCGUUAAUCGGAAUUACUGGGCGUAAAGCGCACGCAGGCGGUCUGUUAAGUCAGAUGUGAAAUCCCCGGGCUUAACCUGGGAACUGCAUUUGAAACUGGCAGCUAGAGUCUCGUAGAGGGGGGUAGAAUUCCAGGUGUAGCGGUGAAAUGCGUAGAGAUCUGGAGGAAUACCGUG
rnacentral:rRNA from 1 species